CUUCCAUCUGGAAGAAGUCUGGAGACAGGUGCUGCAUGGCUGUCGUCAGCUCGUGUCGUGAGAUGUUGGGUUAAGUCCCGCAACGAGCGCAACCCUUGCCUUAGUUGCCAGCAGUUCGGCUGGGCACUCUAAAGGGACUGCCGGUGUUAAACCGGAGGAAGGUGGGGAUGACGUCAAGUCCUCAUGGCCUUUAUGACCAGGGCUACACACGUACUACAAUGGCCGAUACAAAGGGCAGCGACACUGCGAGGUGAAGCCAAUCCCGUAAAAUCGGUCUCAGUCCGGAUUGGAGUCUGCAACUCGACUCCAUGAAGUUGGAAUCGCUAGUAAUCGUGGAUCAGCAUGCCACGGUGAAUACGUUCCCGGGCCUU
rnacentral:rRNA from 1 species